rnacentral:tRNA from 1 species
AAGAUACUAGUAAAAUACAUUACACUGCCUUGUCAGGGCAGAAUCGUGAGUUUAACUCUCGCGUAUCUUA